ACCACUAUUUCGGUCCCUUUUUUAGAAAAAAAGUGUCUAAAAUAUCUUGAAAGUGCUAGAAAUGGAAGAUAGUUUGACUGAUAUUCCAAACUUGAACGUCUCUAGCUCUGGAGAUCAAGAAGUGGAAGAACAAAUUCAAGAAAAUGUUGGAGAAGUCAGCGAAGAGAAUAAAGAUAGCAAAGGAAAAGAAGAAGGUGGGCUUAUUAAUCAUUUAAUUUCCAACAUAAUGAGCCCUAGAGCAGGAGAUGAAGAAGUUGAAGAACAAAUUCAAGAAAAUGUUGGAGAAAUCAGUGAAGAGAGAAAAGACAGCAAAGAAGGUGGGAUUAUUAAUAAUUUCAUUUCCAACUUAAUGAGCCCUAGAGCAGGGGAUGCUAGCAACAAAGGAAAAAAUAAUUUCUUUGAUGUUAAAGAUGAGGAUAAUAACAAGGAAGAUAGAGCUUCUGAGCAAAGUGGUAAUAAUUAUGGCAGUGGAAGUGGAGGGAUAAUCAACAAUUUCAUCUCCAAUAUUUUUCAUCCAACUGAAAAUGCUGUUGAGAUCAACCAAGAAAACAGCAGUAGAGAAGGACAAAAAGGUGGGGUGGUUCAAGAAAAUGAAACUGCAAGUGUUUUAGAUAAUAUUGUUUCCCACUUGCCAACUCCUCUUGCAGAUGAUGCAGUUCCGGCAACAGAUGAGGCUUCAAUACUGAUUCAUUCAAUUGUUCAUGACUAGGGGAGAUAUAGUGUUUCCUAUGUACUAAAAAUUAGGCAACAAAAGACGGUGCUGAAGAUCAUUUAGUCAAAUGUUCAGUUCCAUUCGUGUGGAGAAGAAUGUGGUGUAUAUACGUUUUUACUUUUUGUGUCAACCAACUCAUAAACAGUGAUAACAAAUUCAUCAGUCACUUGAAAGUUGAAGCAAAGAAGAAAUCAGAGGAUGAAGCAGAAGGAAGACAGAGAAAAAGGCAAUAUGUUGGACAUUACCUGUACUCCGUCAUAAGUUAUCAGAAGAUGCGUUGAAACUC